rnacentral:rRNA from 1 species
UACAGAGGGUGCAAGCGUUGUUCGGAAUUAUUGGGCGUAAAGCGAGUGUAGGCGGUUACCUCAGUCUGAUGUGAAAGCCCAGGGCUCAACCCUGGAAGUGCAUUGGAUACUGGGUAACUAGAGGGCGAUAGAGGAGAACGGAAUUAAUGGUGUAGGGGUGAAAAUCCGUAGAUAUCAUUAGGAACACCGGGAAGCGAAGGCUGUUCUCUGGGUCGCAACUGACGCUAAGACUCGAAAGCAUGGGUAGCAAACAGG